rnacentral:snRNA from 1 species
AGCUUUGUGCAGUGGCAGUAUCGUAGCCAAUGAGGUUUAUCCAAGGCGCGAUUAUUGCUAAUUGAGUCUCUACUGGAAAGCAGCAAGAAGGAACUUUCCAGAGUGCUGGUGACAGU